rnacentral:rRNA from 1 species
CCUACGGGAGGCAGCAGUGGGGAAUAUUGCACAAUGGGGGAAACCCUGAUGCAGCGACGCCGCGUGAGUGAUGAAGGUUUUCGGAUUGUAAAGUCCUUUUAGUAGGGAAGAUAAUGACGGUAUCUGACUAAUACGCCCCGGCUAACUCCGUGCCAGCAGCCGCGGUAAUACGGAGGGGGCAAGCGUUACUCGGAUUCACUGGGUGUAAAGGGCGCGUAGGCGGGAGAACAAGUCAGGAGUGAAAUGCUAGGGCUUAACCACGGAACUGCAUUUGAAACUGUGAAGCUAGAGUGCAGGAGAGGUAGGUGGAAUUCCUGGUGUAGCGGUAAAAUGCGUAGAUAUUAAGAGGAACACUCAUGGCGAAGGCGACUUGCUAGACUGUAACUGACGUUGAGGCGCGAAAGCGUGGGGAGCAAACAGGAUUAGAUACCCUAGUAGUC